AAAAAAAGCUUAGACCCUUUAAUUACCUUAGAAAUAAUUUCUUUCUAUGUUUGUAGUAGAAUGAUAAGUAGGUACAAGUUUACAAACAAAAUAGUUUAGUUCAAUUUUCAUGGACAGGUCAUGCUUUCAUUUCAUUUCACUUUCUUACAUGGCAUCAAUUGACAAUUGAUGCUAUAGGACGUACGCGCAAGCGCAGACGGCA
rnacentral:lncRNA from 1 species